AACAUACUCGUUCCCGUUCAGACCCCUGCGCCGCAUUCAAAUGUAAGGAUGAACCCCCCCUCCCCCACUUCCUUUUUUACGUUUAGUUUUUUUUUCUACAUGUAGAUCUACUUUGUGCAAAAGGAAAGGGGAGACUGAUUGACGAACUUGCGGAGUGGAAAGCUGCCAAGAGUCCGCGAAUAGAGCAGGAGAAUUCUCCAUUUGGUAAACACAAGUUGAUGAUCGUUUCUAGUCAGUGGACCUUAUUUUACCGAAUUUUGACAUUCCCGGACUACAGUUUCCAGCAUGACAAUGUCUCGCCUGCUAACUGGCAUGGUGCUCGUAGCGACGCUUGCACUGGCUGCUUCCGUUUCCGUCCCUGAACUGUGCAGUCUGAAGCCUGAAGUGGGAUGGUGUCGUGCCCAUAUGAUCAUGUUCUACUACGAACCGGUGAACAACACUUGCUACGAGUUUGUUUACGGCGGUUGCGAUGGAAACGACAACAAUUUCGAUAAUGCGUCUGUCUGCAUGGAGACUUGCGGAAACGGAAGUAUGACGUCAUCAAAAGUGAACGCCCUCGGACUUUUUGGCUCUCUUGGAGUUGGAGUUAUGUUUGUGUACAAAUAUAUUUUGUCAUUAUAAUUAAAAUAAAAUAUUUUAAAAAU